GCUAUUUGCUAUUUGCUGUUUGGAUACAUUCGAAGCUGCCUCUGCUUCGUGAGUAAUUCAAUCUUAUAAUGCACGAGACUGGCCAGCUUACUUGAAUCAUCUGCCCCAAGUGCAAUGGACUUCUCAAGUAACCGCUUUCCCGACUUGCAGGCUGCUCGUUCAAGUGGGGGAGCAACGAUGAGCACGGAAAAUGAUGAUGGCGAUGACGAGAUCGUGGACUUUGGUCGGACUUAAGCGCAUUAUGGACUCCGGCUGCGACUCCGGCGGAUAUUCCGGGACUCGGA